UUUUUUUUUUUUUAAAGAAAAUAAAUUGGAUCUGGUUUUAAAUCAACUUUUGUUUAUCCCUUUGUUUGUUUCCCUCUGAAAAAAAAUUUAUGGGAAUAAUUCUCCUUGAUGGCUCUGAUUUUUCUUUAUGGAUCUUGUGAAAUUUUUUUCGUGUGCCUUCAUUUAGCUUGAGGGAGAAAUUUCUCCUUUUAUAUAAUUGUUGCAUGUGGAAAAUAAAUGGUAGCUAAGGAAAUGAUGAAAUUUUGGAGGAUUUAAGGUGAUAUGCCCUUGGAUAUUAAUGGAAUUUUAGAGAGAUGGGAAAAAAAAAAAAGAUCUUUCAAUUUCCUCCUGGAAAUAUUUUCCUAGAAACUUAAUUUAACUCAAUUGAGAUUAGUGAAUUUUAUUA
rnacentral:misc_RNA from 1 species